rnacentral:rRNA from 1 species
UACGAGGGGGGCGAGCGUUGUUCGGAUUUACUGGGCGUAAAGCGCACGUAGGCGGAUUGUUAAGUCAGGGGUGAAAUCCUGGAGCUCAACUCCAGAACUGCCUUCGAUACUGGCGAUCUCGAGUCCGGGAGAGGUGAGUGGAACUGCGAGUGUAGAGGUGAAAUUCGUAGAUAUUCGCAAGAACACCAGUGGCGAAGGCGGCUCACUGGCCCGGUACUGACGCUGAGGUGCGAAAGCGUGGGGAGCAAACAGG